UGGCAAUCGCCUGCUGACCG
rnacentral:miRNA from 1 species